rnacentral:rRNA from 1 species
GAUGAACGCUGGCGGCGUGCCUAAUACAUGCAAGUCGAGCGAACGGACGAGAAGCUUGCUUCUCUGAUGUUAGCGGCGGACGGGUGAGUAACACGUGGAUAACCUACCUAUAAGACUGGGAUAACUUCGGGAAACCGGAGCUAAUACCGGAUAAUAUUUUGAACCGCAUGGUUCAAAAGUGAAAGACGGUCUUGCUGUCACUUAUAGAUGGAUCCGCGCUGCAUUAGCUAGUUGGUAAGGUAACGGCUUACCAAGGCAACGAUGCAUAGCCGACCUGAGAGGGUGAUCGGCCACACUGGAACUGAGACACGGUCCAGAAUCCUACGGGAGGCAGAAGUAGGGAAUCUUCCGAAAUGGGCGAAAGCCUGACGGAGCAACGCCGCGUGAGUGAUGAAGGUCUUCGGAUCGUAAAACUCUGUUAUUAGGGAAGAACAUAUGUGUAAGUAACUGUGCACAUCUUGACGGUACCUAAUCAGAAAGCCACGGCUAACUACGUG